UUUAAUUCGUACGAUACGCGAAGAACCUUACCUGGCCUUGACAUACUAAAAAGCUUUAAGAGAUUAGAGUGUGCUAGCUUGCUAGAAUUUAGAUACAGGUGCUGCACGGCUGUCGUCAGCUCGUGUCGUGAGAUGUUGGGUUAAGUCCCGCAACGAGCGCAACCUCGUGUUUAGUUGCUAACAGUUCGGCUGAGAACUCUAAACAGACUGCCUACGCAAGUAGGAGGAAGGUGAGGACGACGUCAAGUCAUCAUGGCCCUUACGGCCAGGGCUACACACGUGCUACAAUGGGGUAUACAAAGAGCAGCGAUACGGUGACGUGGAGCAAAUCUAGAAAAUGCCUCUCAGUUCGGAUUGUAGUCUGCAACUCGACUACAUGAAGUUGGAAUCGCUAGUAAUCGUAGAUCAGCAAUGCUACGGUGAAUACGUUCCCGGGUCUU
rnacentral:rRNA from 1 species